CCACUGCCUGGAUCUUAGCGGGAUCGGCACGUAUCUGACCCUUCUCCACAAUAUACCCCAGGAAGGACACGGAGGUGGUGUGAAAUUCGCAUUUCUCUGCCUUGACAUAACCGGUUCUCUAGAAGUCGCUGGAGGACAAGCCAGACGUGACGGGUAUGUUCCUGUAGGUUCCUAGAGAAAAUGAGAAUGUCAUCCAGGUAGACAAAGCAAAUACGAUUAAUCAUGUCUCUUAGCACAUCGUUAAUUAAGUUUUGAAAAACCGCCGGGGCGUUAGUAAGUCCGAAUGGCAUCACCAAAUAUUCGAAGUGCCCCUUAGGCGUAUUGAAGACUGUCUUCCACUCGUCUCCCCUCUUUAUGCGUACCAAGUGAUAUGCAUUCCGUAGGUCUAAUUUAGAAAAUAUUUGAGCCGAAUGCAAAGCGGAGAAGGCGGAGUCCAUAAGUGGGAGAGAAUACCGGUUGCGGAGAGUGAUACUGUUGAGCCCCCUAUAGUCUAUCCAAGGCCUAAGUGAUUUAUCCUUCUUGGCGACAAAGAAAAAUCCCGCCCCUAACGGGGAAGAGGACGAGCGGAUAAAUCCAGAAGCAAGAGAGGAGGAAAUGUAGUCUUUGAGGGCUUGUAGUUCAGGGGCCGAAACGUUAUAUAAUUUGGCAUUGGGCAGGCUAGCAUCUGGUAACAGCUUGAUAGCACAGUCGUAAGGACGAUGCGGGGGCAGAGUUUGAGCGCUGUCCUUAAUAAAACCCUGCUUCAGGUAGUGAUAGGUCUCGGUUACCCCAGAUAACUCAAUCCUCUCUUCAACAACAUGGGCAAUGGGAGUCUCAGUGACAGCAGAGCGCAAACAAUUAGCGUGACAAAAGGGGCUCCAGUUAUUUAUACGCAUCCUGUUCCAAUCAAUCGAAGGGUUGUGUAAUUUUAGCCACGUGAGACCAAGAACAACCGGGGCGGAACGAGACGGAAUUAAAUAGAAACGGAUACUCUCAAAAUGAUUACCCGACAACCGGAGUGACAAAGGCUCUGUCUGGUGAGACACAGCCGCCAAGAGACGCCCAUCCGAGGAUAGUACCUCCUUAGGGGAGGAUAGUUCAACUAACUUAAGAUUGCAAGACUUAGCAAAAUUAGGGUCCAAAAAACAAUCAGAACCAGAGUCAAUUAGUACAGUAACUUGAUUAUUCCCCCCUCCCAUGAUAGUUCCAUGGACCUGUAGUCUGUAUGGGGGUGCGCAAGACUGAAAAGGAGUGGCAUUGGUCUUAUACUCAGUCCCUGAGCGCAGGACGAUCCCCGACCUUGGGUUGAUCGAUCCCUGAUACCGAUCUGACACUCUCGGCCGAUCCCGAGGUCGAUCCCCGUCUCUGUCCAGGGAAUCGUUGGAGCCGGUGAUCCGGAUCACCGCAAUACAGGCAUAAUUCCAUCUUGCGGCGGGUCCUCUAUGCUUGUGUGAGAAGGCGAGCUCGCAGCUGCAUUGGGGUUUCUGUGGGUGUUGAGUCGGUCUCCAUCGGAAGGCACAAGGCAGGUCUCCUCUCCAUCGGCAGGGUUGAUACGAGUCGCGGAGUAUCGAUCCGCCUCUCUUCCGCGUGCUCCUUUGCUCGGUCCCUGAUGCGGUUGUCCAAGAUCUAGAUCUAUGAGUUAAUCCAAUGACAGAAUAGUCUUUAGCCACUAAUUCGUCCUUUAUGCGAGGAUUAAGAGCCUUACGAAAAAUGUCCCGAAGAACGGCAGUAUCGGUGUAGCCGCUCUCGACAGCCAUUACACGGAAGUCAAUGGCGAAAUCCGCCACCGUGCGUCCCCUCUGUUUCAGUUCUAGUAGCCGACCCCCAGGCCUCUCUACCAUGAACCGGGUGAUGAAAGACUUCUCAUUUCUGCCAGAAAUGUCUGCAUAGAAGUGCGCGUGGCAGGAACUGAUUUACCAAUGGCCAUAGCCCAUGUAGCUGCUCUGCCGGUAAGUAAGCUCAUAAUAAAGGCUAUACGUGCUGGGUCCGAGCCGUAAGUAGUUGGCUGCGGAUCGAACACCAGCGAGUAUUGGUGCAAAAAUUGUUCACAGGACUGUGACUCACCCGAAAAACAAGGAGGGUGAGGAAUACUAGGUUCCUGUCCUGAAUUAGUCAUCAGUGUCGAUAAUGAGGCAGGAGCGGAGGUAAUCACUGCAACUGUGGCUGCCUCGUCCUCCUGCAGCAGAUGUGCACAUACCCUCGCUAGACGUUGGUCCAUACUGUCGACCGCCAGGGUGAGUGCGGAAAUGGUGUCCGUAAUAUCACGCAGCCUCUUAUCAUGGUUGCUGACCAGCUGGCCUUGAUGAGACACGGCGCUGCGGAAGUGGUCAAAUCCUGCGGGCUCCAUUGUGGCCAGAUUGUUCUGUCACAAGUGGGGGUAGCCACUUGUAAAAGGGGCGGAACCCAACGCAGGGAAGCAGACCAAAAAUAGAUACAAAAGGUAUUUACUGUAAUAACACAAAGUGUCCCAAGUGGGGUAAAGUACAACACAAAAGUCACAAACCAAAAGUAGAAACACAAAACGCUGCCAGUAGAAGGCUGACAGGAAAUAACUAGAAUACAACUGAGAAACACUACAGGCAAACCUGAGCUGGAACAACAACUAGUGUAACAGGAAAUAGUACUGAGCAGAGGGUACAAGGGUGAGCCAGAAAGCUGUGAACAGGUAAGGAGCCGGACGAAGCGGUACAGGUAGCAAGGAGUACAAUCUGGCUCUGGUCCCUAGUUGCUGCUGAGUAUAAGAAGGGUGCCUGAUGAGAUUGCCUGCAGGUGUGUGCUGGGGACUCCACCCACACCAGCUGAAGCUGCACAGAGAGCAAAUACACAGCAGGCGGCAGCAGAGCGACAAACACCAUCAUCACACUUUAUUCAGUUUUAUUAUCAGUGACGUGGUCUUACAAUAGUUUACACUGACUUGGUUCGAGUGGGUUUCAUGCUGGAUAAGAAUUCUGACAAUAAAGGUACACAGAAGUCGUUACAACAGGCCGAAGCAUGCAGAUGAUAUGGUACAUAGGAAUAAUCCUCUCAUCGAGUAUUGCAAUAGUAUCGAUAAGAAGUGGAAACAUUGGCCUGAUAUGACCAGCCAGCAGAGGGGAACUUGAACCCCACAGUAAUUGUUAUGGCGAACAGCUGUUUUGCCAGCUGAUGCGCGAGCCCGUGACUGCGGCGGCCCUGUGAUGCGCUCGGCAACAGGCAGAACCCUGUUUAGAUUAUUGCAGUUUUCUUUAAGAGAGCACUUGGUAGAGCACAUCCACUCUCGUAUUCAACCAGGUUCCUAGAGAGGUUUUUUUUUUUAAAUAUAAUUCGGCAUUAGUUCGGCCAGUCAAUUCACAUAAUCAAAGUCAAUUUACUUUCAUGAAAAAUUACAGCGGUAAGCGCUCCCGUCUCAUCAGCUGGUGCGCGAGCGCGCUAAUUACGCAGCUGUGUCAAAUCAGGCAGAGUAAAGAGACGCCACUGCAGAGCAGAGCAAAGGUUUUAGUUCCUCCAUAGAGCUGUGAGAAUACUACCAACAUAGAGCUGAACGGACAGCCGGUAAGAUCACUUUUUAUUUUCUUUGUGGAUGUGCGGCACUUGUUGCGCUGCUGUGGCAUUGGAAUGUGGGGCAAGGUGCUUUGUGUAAUGUUGGUUGGGUAAAUGGUUGCUUAUGGGGGAAACGAGUCACUUGGUUCACUGCUGGAUAAUAAUUUUACAUUGGAUAUGGAUUGUAAAUAUGUGCCUGUAAAAUUUGUGGUUAAUUCAUUAGGUAUUUAUUAAUUUGUGUGUUGGAUUUAACCAGUUCCAUUAAUUCAUUGUUUCCCGUGGUUACAAAAUUUACUUUUUUGCAUUUACACUUAAAUAAUUCAGUUAAAAUCUGUUUUAACUUAAAGGGUGAGAAUUUAUUUUAUGUACUUGUGUAAUUGUUCAAGGUUAAUAUAGAAGGGUGAUAAUUGAUAAUUGUGUUGUAUUAAUUGUUUAUUAUGGGUUUUGAUAAUUAUUUGAUUUGUUAGUACUUGGGUUUAUAAAAUGUUAAUGUGCUGUUUGUCUUAAGGUUUUUCACCUGCUGAAAAAGGAAAAACAGUCUGGUCUUGUUGAGUGAAGUCCUGCGUCCUAAUUGUUCAGCGUUGGUGGGGAGCACAGCAAAAAAAAAAUAACACUUGACAGUAAUUAAAAUAAUGUAUGAGUUUGUGUCCAUGUACAAAGUGGACCAAAAAAAAGAAAAAUGGGUGGACGAAGCAUGUUCAGUUGAAUAUGAGAGAAUGACAUUGAACAGGAAGUUAACAUACCAUUUUUACAUACAGCUUCAAUCGAGUCCCGCACCUUAAGACACUAAUUAGAGUAUAAUUUAUAACCAGCUUGCAUUAGUUAGCCAAGAGGGCUGCAAUUAGAUUGAAACAACUAUAGAAACAGGAUAAUGCCUUUCAUCGGAGCAGGCUUCAUGGGUUCAUGCUCAAAGACUAGGUGGGACACACACCAGUCAGACUAGAUAGGACAGCUCUAGUCCAGUUCAUGCUCAAAGACUAGGUGGGACACGUCAGUUACGAUCGAUUUAAAUGCACUGAGAAUACAAUGACCUGGAUGAAUGAGAAUAUUCAGAGACCUAUUUUUUUACGCUUCUGCCCAAAAAUGACAUGCCCAAACUAAACAGGUAACUUUGUAAAUAUAAAAUCAUGUGAUCAAUCUUGAUAUCAAAACAAAGCUAACACUUUAAUCUGUAAUCAUCACUGUUGAUGUGUCAAAGUAAAAUGCAGAGCAGCACUGGAAAAUAUUUGAAAGAAAUCCCUUUUAUCUAUUCUCCUGGAAAAUAGGCUGAUCAAGGCUAAACACUGAAGAAGUCGUGUAAUAACCUUCUAACAAUACAUGUGCAAAGUUUUAUGCUGCUAAAAUAAAGCGGAGCAAAACUACAGCGUAAAGGCGUUCCAUGGCACAUUUAACUGGAGAGUCAAUUGAGAAUUUUUUUCGGUUCCAAUUUAUAAAAAAAAAAUUCAUUUCAAUUAAACUUCACUAGGGCUCUAAAAACUGCUUGUGAUUUUAAAAAUAGUGACGAACUGCCUGUGCGCAUUGCGCCCUGCUGCGUUAUUACAGCCAGCUGUUCAACAGUUGCUCACUCCGGCUCAGAAUGGCGGAUUCCGGUGAUUGACACCUGGAACCGUCAGGCCCAAUAGAAUCAAACCUAGGUCGUCAUUUUGCGGUCAGAGAAGCCAUCAGCGAAUCAAAGGAUGUACAACCCACGUGAUGAAGAUCGACAGCGUCUUACGUACUCGGCUGCGCAUGCGUCACUCAAAUCCAACUUGGAGUGUGAAGAAGCGGCAAAAGAAGUGGGAGACAUAUUGGACUUAAUUGAAGAACCAGAGCGACGGAUACAGGCACAUUACAAUGGUUUAUGCAAAGGCUGUUUGGCUUGAGGGUCACAAACAGUUUGAGGGUGUCAUCCCAAAAAACUGGAUAUAGGAAGAAGGAAAUGUUGUGCGAUGGCCAAAGAAAAGUGUGCAUUCAGCCCAUAAAAAAAGGACCCAGACGAUGACUGGAACACGUUCCCACUUGUGAAAAUAAAGACAAUAUCAGACAAUGAGAAAGAUUGUGAAGACUAUAACUACACUUCAUCAGCCCAAACUGACCAUAAGGGUUCCACCAUCGUGCCAGAAGAAAUCAGGAAGAGACAUGUAAAGAAGAGGACAUACUGUAUGAUUUUGUUGAUGGAUACAGGUUUGCAUGCAUAUCCAAAGCCUCCUGAAAUCCAGAAGAACGAAUUUGCUUCUGCUACCAUUGAUCAAACCACUCCUAAGGAAUCCACCAUGGAUAAUGACGUGUGUACUUGGACUAGACGGCUGCCAAAUUCAUCCAGAGGAUGCUGGAAGUGAACAUGACAGCAGACAUGGUAAGAUGUGGGUGGCGGGGGCAUGCUGGAGCCUAUCCCAGCUGACUUCGGACGACAGGCGGGGUACACCCUGGACUGGUCACCAGCCAAUCGCAGGGCACAUAGACAAACAACCAUUCACACUCGCAUGCAAAUGAUUUAUAUAUUUACUUAUUUAACCUCUUGGACUGUUUGGGUUGUCUUAGAGGACAUUUUGCCUUUCAUCCGAGCAGGCUUCAUGGGUUCAUGCUGAAAGACUAGGUGGGACACACACCAGUCAGACUAGAUAGGACAGCUCUAGUCCAGUUCAUGCUCAAAGACUAGGUGGGACACAUCAGUUACGAUCGAUUCAAUGCACUGAGAAUACAAUGACCUGGAUGACAGCCACAAAAAUCGUAGGAAAAGUCAUUGAAUUGGGAAAAGGGUAUUUCUGUGCCUGGAAAGUUCUGGAAAUGUAUUUUUCUCAGUUGCAGCAUUUUCCUGUCUUCCUGUUCCACACAUGCCAUCUUGGUGUUACAGGGUUGUCAAGGGAGCGGUCCAACUCCCCCCGAUCACCAAUCAAGUCAUGGAAGUGAUGGAGGAUAUUCCACUUCUUGUUCUCAGUCAUCAGUGGGCUCAACUCCCAGACGCUCAUCUUCCAGAUAUGGUGUUGGUGUUCCAGGGCAGUCCCGCUCUAGAAGGAGCGUCCCAACUCUUCCAAUCACCGAUCAAGCCAUCAAAGUGCUACACCUUCCACUCUAGGACACUCAACAUCCAGACAUGGCUGAUGACAAACUCCCUGAUGUCUUCAUUCAAUAUGUAGGGCCACGGUUCCAAAAGGGCAUUCCAACCGACAGAACUUUACGCCAUUGUGACAGCUGCUGUCAAAAUGUGGGACAGCAAAGCCAUGUACAGACCAUGAAAUUUCACGUACUAUGGCAGACCAUUUCAAACAUGCUCCCUGGCGGUCUGUUGGUGGAGGCUUUCUUAAAAAAAAUAAAACUGGUGUGUCCACAACUUGUAUUGGACAUUUGUUGGGUGACAAACACAACUCAUAAUGAAUGAUAACGUUGCACUGGAUGUGUAAAUAAAUUACUGCUUGCAAAUGCUAUUUUAGAAAAAAAAAAUAUGAUUUUAUAUACACAAUACGUGCAGUUCAUGUCAAAAUUUUAUUUAUUAACUAUAACGUUCCUCAUGUUCACAGUGCAGCAUUGACGAAACAUCAGGGAGGAACUUUGGUUGUUUGAGUUCAUCGGUCCACACUAGUUUUGGCCCUGAUCAGUUGAUAUGAAAUGGAAACAUUUCACUUUACGUACAGUAUUAUCUACAGUCAUGACUGGAUUGAAGUCUAUUUUUUUUGUUUUACAUCCUUUAUAUCAUGAUCUUCUGGAUAUAAGAUUUUGUUGUUGUACAUGUGAGAACAGUAAAUGUUUUAUUGAUACAUUUUUUUUGUUAAAUUGUCUUGUUUUUUUUUUUUAAGGGUUAAAAUUCUGUCCUAAAUUUGUGAUUAUUUAUAAUUAAUUCAUGUUUAAUUCUUAAGUCUUUUCCAACAACCUGAAAAAGACAGCUUUUCACCGUUCACUUUUCAACCAAAUUUGGACCGCAAAGAGACAUCUUCAUGGAGACGUCUUUUCAACGUCCUGAAAAAGACGGCCUUUCACCAUUCACUUUUCAACUAAGUUUGGACCGCAAAGGGACGUCUUCAUGGAGAGACGUCUUUUCAACGACUUGAAAGAGGGCUUUUCACCGUUCACUUUUCAACCAAAUCAAAACAUUGUUUCAACGCAUGGUCAUGAUGUCUUUUCAACCAAUUUUUGCGGGGUGGGAAUAAUCAGAUUACUAAAGUCGAGCCCCAUAAUUAAAAAGACAAUGCACAUUUGGCACAAGGGAGAGGAUGGAGGCCAAGAAGGUUAGAUGAUCCGUGAAAUGUCAACGCAACAUAGAAGAGCCAAUCACUGUGUUAUGACCCAGAGAUCACAUGGGUGAUGACAAGCUGGAGGACAACAUCGAGAGACAGUCUCAUGAGAUGACAACUGUGCAGAAAGACUACUGUGAAUGAUGCUGACCUAUUUGCUGCUACUCCAAGGUGGAAAUUGCUGCGCAGACGAACCCUAACGACACACAUCCUGACAAUAUUUUCAUUGGGCCAGUGGAACAACAGGGUGACAGGUGUGGAUGUCAAGAUCCCAUCAUAUGUGGUGAAAUGUCACAGGGACAGACCCUGACUGGAACCAGAUGGAACGAUCAAUCCUGUGGGUCAAGCUGCAGGAAGGACUGUGGUGCUUGGACUUGGACGCAUGACAAAGAUCAUGUGAUGAAGGAUGUCGAGCUCUAUUGGACAAUGGACCAGAUGACACCCAGGAACCUGAUUCAAAUACAGCUGAGAGAUGUUAGGAGAGGAAACAGGCUGUAAUGACACAGAAUCAGCCUAACCGGUGACAGUUAAUCUCACACCAGGAGCUACAACUUUAUGGAUCUACAGAAGGAGGAGGUGCUGUGGGUGGUUGGACCAUCAAACAAAGGACUGUUGCAAGCAAAUGACGGGAAGAUUUCUCAGAACUACCAAUGCAACACGAUCCUACUGCCCCACUUUUAUUGCCUGAUUUAAAAUAAACCGGCUGGAAAUUAAGUGGUGGCCAAAAAAACGCAUGCUUUGUUGGCUGAAAUCCCCGCCGAUGCUAUGUACACUUGACUGAUUUAGAUUUGUUGGUUCCCCGUAGUGUUGAAUUUUAGAUUUCCCUAUCAGGGACAUUCUUAUCAAUAUUAGAGAUCCCUAUGGGAUUGAAACAUAGCUUUCACAUGUUCAAUAAUAAUUGCAUAAUACUGUCGUACAAUAUCAUCAGUUCACUGGUUACAACAAAUUCUUAGGGGUAACAGCCCCAGACCUGCUAGGUUGGUUGCUUUAGAAAGCACAUGAGUAAGUUGCAUGUUGCACGGGGGAAGGUUCGGAGGAAGAUUAUAAACGUACAUAUUUCUUGGGAAAAGUACCUGUUCGAAUAAAUUGUCAUUGGUGAGGUACUAUUUUGUUUAGAAAAUAAAAUAAAACAAUUAUGUGAAGAGAGACAGGACAGUUACUGCAGGUUACAUUCCAACCCCAAAUAGAGGCAGAGAUAAAGAUACAUUUUAGUUUCAAAGAACAGGUUUUCUUACAAGCGGAGAGAUGUUCAAUACAGACUGAACAGUCGGGAACUUCAGAUCAGAUAUUAUAAAAUUUGAAAUAAUUGGUGGAUGAACUAGUAAAAUUAAGUACAAAAUUGGACAUUAAACAUCUCACAACGGUUUACAAUUUGCAAAGUUAAGUGAAUUGCCAAAUAUGAAUGGGCUUUGAAAAUAUAAUCAUUAAAAUUGAUUCUGAAUUUGUUAGCAGCGCUUCUCCGUGCACUGAUGGUGUUUGUAUGAAUUUUGCGAUUUGAUUAUGGCGCCACAUCAAUUGGUCAUGGGCAGACAAAUGCCAAUACAUUGUUUACGUUCAAACAAAAAAGGGCUAGAAACUGACCCAAUAGAAGACAACAUGAAUGUUCGAAAAUAGUUAAAUACACUACAGUUAGUGUGUGAGUUUUGGAAGUGACUUAAUUUUUGGUCCUUCAUCAAUCCAUCCAUUGAGUCUCCAAUUGACCUAACAUGCAUAGUUUUGGAAUGUGGGAGGAAACCGGAGUACCCGGAGAAAACCCACGCACACAGAAAACUCCCCACAGAAAUGCCCAAGGGAGAAUCGAACCCAUGUCUUCCCAAUCUCCAGACUGUUACUGUGUUGGCCAACAUGCUAACCACUAGACUGUGGCCUGGUGCUUAAUCACAGCUUCAGUAUUUUUUAAGAGGACAUUUUAUGUGGUUAUCAUAUACACUCAGUCUCCAACCAACGAACACAAUUGGUUCCAGACGACCGUUCGCAAGUCGAUUUGUUCGUAAGUCCAACAAAAGGUAAUAUUACCAAUGAUAUAGGUACUACAUAUACAGGUAUACAUAUACAGUAUACAGUUGAGAUCAGAAGUUUACAUACACCUUGGACAAAAACAUUUCAUCAGUUUUUUUUUUUAUUCCCCCCACCCCGUCCUGUCCAGCCUUUAAAGCAGAUAGAAUUGUAGAUCUAAAUGCCGUCAAGUGCUCAACAGAUUUACUCUGCCAGAGAGAAGUGUGAUAUACACUUCC